AGAGUUUGAUCAUGGCUCAGGACGAACGCUGGCGGCGUGCCUAAUACAUGCAAGUCGAGCGAGCUUGCCUAGAUGAUUUUAGUGCUUGCACUAAAUGAAACUAGAUACAAGCGAGCGGCGGACGGGUGAGUAACACGUGGGUAACCUGCCCAAGAGACUGGGAUAACACCUGGAAACAGAUGCUAAUACCGGU
rnacentral:rRNA from 1 species